GAGAUCGACCUUCGACGGUGCCGCUCUAGCGUUGGUCGGCCAGCAAGUCUUCACCACCCCCUUAUCCCCUUUACCCACCUUCCAACCCCACUACAGUGUUGUGAUCGGCCGGUCCGCUCUACCAUGGCGCCACUCAAUGCAUCGCCAACGCAAAAUCGUUCUCUAUAGCCAGGUUCCUUCUUCAACGGGCCAAUCCAACAGUUGUGUUCCUUACUGUCCAUGGCCGGGAGAAAGCGAAAGCGCCCUGAGGAGCUCUACCAUGGUCCUUGAGAACUUCUACGCACCGGUCUGCACCGACCUCUCACCAACUGCCUCGCCCGUGCUUCGCAGAACUACUCUUUGGAUUUCGGAGAAUUGAGUAUAGAAGAAGCAGCCAAUGACUUUCCUAUAAUACUGGACAGCAUAGAAGUUGAUCUUCCAUUGGAAGGUUCCCUCUUUGCAUACUUUAGCAGAUCAGAAACGCUCCUGAUGAAAAUCCGCCUUUUCUUGGGUGAUAUUGGCCCUUCUGGUGGUAUUUCAUGAUUUGUGGCAGUUAAGAUAACUGCUGUAGCCUUUGACUGUAUCAUUGUUGUGGGUGUUCUUCUCUGUUUAGGGUGUGAUGGGGGAUCUCUGCAUGCAACAUCAUUUGUUGGUUCACCUCUGCGUGGUUCGAGGUUCUGAACAGUAUUUACACUGGUAUGUUGUAAGCUUCCAUCUAUGGAUUGCUGAAGAUCCUGAACAUUAUUUGCAAAGGUAUGCUCUGUGCUUUCUUUUUCAAAAUAACUCAAACUAGAUUUGGUUGUUCUCUCACUAAUCAUCAGUUUCUCAGGGCCAUUUGUAAUAUGAUUAUUUUGCACUUCUCCAAUAGUGGAGCUGUCACCUGUUAAUUUCUUGCCUCUUCUCAUGUGCUUAUUAGAACAUAACUCAGUAUAUUCACAAAGGUUAUUCUUA